CAAAUUUUAGUUUAAGAAAAAUUAUUCAUUUACAUUGAAUAGAUAUAUAAAGUUUAUAAAUUUGA
rnacentral:tRNA from 1 species